rnacentral:lncRNA from 1 species
AUAUAUUUUGUUGAUAGCUCAAGAACAUUAUCAUAAAUUUACUUAAGAUACAGAACAAAAUUCACAGUUAGGCUUGACAUUUAGUACUAUAAAAUUUUAUGUUGGAUCCACUGAUACGUUUGUUAAUAAGGUGCACUUGAAAUAAUUGAUUCAGCCUACCAAUGAGCUGAUAUUUUAUCGUAUAACCAGGAUCUAUUGGUUUUACAAUAUAUCUAGUAAUCAAUUAUUUCACCAAUAAUUCAAGAAACAGAGAUCUACUUGAAAAUACCAUUGAUAGAUACCCUUAACAGGAUAAUUAAAAUAAAAAGCACUAGCAGCUUUGAUUUCCAUUUCCAUGAAUGCGUACAAGAUAAACCUGUAUUUUACAGUUAAAAUUUGUACAAAACGUCAAGCCCUGAAGUAGUUUUUCCCCCAAAAGUUCUGAUGUUAAAACUUUAAAAAAAAAGAGAGAGAGGUAGUGUGUAAGAAUAUUUUUACUUAAAUGUUGAACCCCUGCACCACUUAUAUUAUAAAUGAAAGUUAACCUUCUACAUACUAACAUUAUUUUGCCAUUCAAGAGUCAAAUUUAUAAGACUCACAGAAUGUUAAAGCCGGAAUGCCAUUAAAAAUAGUAUAUAAAUGGAAGAACUUCGGUGAAUUCAACAAAAAGUACAACGUAUUACAUAAUGUGCAGUCAGUUAAUAGUUUACUGAUAAUAUGCUUAGUGGUAAUGUGAACAAAAUACAUUGAAGUAUUCUGAGUCAAGUGAUCUUCACGUAAUCAAGACUUCUUCAUAUAUACUUUACCAUAUAGAGAAAACAUCCUUCAAAACGGAGUCAUUUGAAUCUUCAUUGUUGUAAUAGCACACAAUUGUUAAAAAGGUAUUCAUACUAGCCCUACCAUAAAGUUAAUUAAUAAAUAACUCUCCAUAAGCCAUAGGGAACUUAUGUACUUCAUAGUAUUUUUAGUUUCUAUAUACAAGCAUACCAUUGUGCUUGUGCACAUUGUACAAUAAAAUCAGGCAAGGAAUUAAAGUUAGCAGCCUUACUCUUAGCUUGUUCUAAGUGGAUGCACUGGAAAGUAAUAAAUAGCCUCAUAAAAUUAAUAGUGAUAAACUCUACCUGUCACAGGUGAAUACUAUGUAGUUUUCAUAAAGUGUAGGCAGUGUUUCUAGAAAUCCCAUGAAGGAAAACCCAAUUUUUUUUUUUGGCAUAAAAAGUGCACAAGUUUGUCCUAUGUGUUAAAACAUCUUAAUUUGGAUGUAUUUUUUAUCCAAAAUGAUGCAUACUUGGAUGCAUUAAAAGCACACCAACAAAAAUACACACACUAACAAUAAAAGGAAUGAUUUCAAAUGAGACUGGGAAUGGGAACAAGAAUAGGUUAAAGGAGAGACUUCCAUAUUUCCAAAGUCAAGAGAAUUGCCUUUAAAACAUAAAUUAUAUAGCCAUACAGAAUUAAUUUGCAAAUAUGAAAGCUAUAGGAAGGACAAACACCAAUUUGAACAACUGUUGCAAAGUUUCAUAACUCAAGAAAAGAUAGCUUCCUGGCUGGGCGCUCAUGCCUGCAAUCCAGCACUUUGGGAGGAGAUGGGCGGAUCACUUGAGGUCAGGAGUUUGAGACCCACCUGACCAACAUGGUGAAACUCCAUCUCUACUAAAAAUACAAAAAAAUAAGCCAGAUGUGUUGGCGCACGCCUGUAAUCUUAGCUACUCAGGACGCUGAGGCAGGAGAAUUGCUUGAACCUGGGAGGCGGAGUUUGCGGUGAGCCGAGAUCUCACCAUUGCACUCUAGCCUGGGCAACAAGAGUGAAACCCCGUCUCUAAAAUAAAUAAAUAAAUAAAUAAAUAAAUAAAUAAAUAAAUAAUAAAAAAAGUCAUUUUAAAUCUGAAUAGGUUCUCAAAAUUGUUCUUAAAAAAAAAAGUACUAACUUAUCCUUCCACCCACAGUGCUGCUCUUGGGAGCAGAAUUCUGAAGAGAAAGGCAAAAUUCAAGGGAAAGAGUUUGCCUUCAAGUUUUAACAUAGCCUAUGUUAACAUAGGCUAUGUUAAAACUUGAAGAAGGAAGACCAAUAAAUAGCACUGUAGCAAGAGGAGAAACUAAACCUACCAAUGGUCUGUGAGCUCUCAUACAUUUAACCCUCCUAAAGUACAGUCUUGAAUAACAGACAACAUCAAAGGGCAGCUGUGCUUUUCUCAGAAUAAAACAGCUGAGCUAAACAACCAAAACCAAACAGCUGUACUGCCUUUGGAUUUAGUGUUGCAUUAAAAUUAGAUGUUUUCUUUCCCCAGCCUUUUUUUUUUUCUUGGUGGAAGAAGCAAUUGAAGAGUUUUAUUUCAGACAUAAAUGUUAUGUUCAAAUCAUUUGCACACAGCCCACAGUAAAAUGUUAGUUAUUAUGGAAAUCUGACUGAUGGCAUUGUCACUUACAAGGAGAGACCCUCUCAAUUGUUUUCAUUAUUCAAUACUACUUAAUUAUUUAGAAUUUGCCUGUGUACAGUGAACGUCAUUGAUGUUGUAGAUGUGAAAGUUGAUUAAAACAUCUUAAACUUGAUUUUUAUUUUAUUUAUUUUAUUUUAUUAUUAUUUUUUAGAUGAGUUUUACUCUUGUUGCCCAGGCUAGAGUGUAAUGGUGCAAUCUCUGCUCACUGCAACCUCUGCCUCCCGGGUUCAAGCGACUCUCCUGCCUCAGCCUCCUGAGUAGCUAAGAUUACAGGCGCACACCACCACGCCCGGCUAAUUUUUGUAGUUUUAGUAGAGACGGGGUUUCUCCAUGUUGGUCAGGCUGGUCUCGAACUCCCGACAUCAAGUGAUUUGUCCGCCUUGGCCUCCCAAAGUGCUGGGAUUACAGGCAUGAGCCGCUGCAUCUGGCCACAAGUUUAAUUUUUUCAGUUUUUUUUACUUGUUUCAUUUUGUUCUGUACUGGGUAGCAAGGGAACGUUUUUAAACAAGGACAAUUAAUGUUGGAUUACUAUGUUAGGUUUACAGGAAGGGCCAGAGUCAGGGAAACCAGGAGCCUAUUGAAAAACAUGAGAGAGCUGGGUGUGGUGAGAGGCCCAGGCUGGUUGGCUGAUCCCUUGGCAUUUUGGGAGGCCCAAGCUGGCCAUCCUGCAGAGGAUGAUGCUUUAUUUAGGGGCAUGAUUUCUGACCUCUUUACUUAGCAAUCACCCGACUAUAUAGACACCAUGAAAACCCAUCAACAGAUUGGGACUCCACAAAACAAAUAAAAUAAGUCUGUUUCAAAUUCUUAUUUGGGAUUCCUUUCUCUUCCAAAUUUUCACAGAAGCUCCUUGGCCCCUAAUAAUCCUGGAACAAGAGAAAACGGGGUCUUCCUUCGGGCUCUUGUUGCUCACAGACCCCAGUGAGCUGAGGCAGUUGCUAUGGAGGAACAAGGCUGCUCUUUUCCAGGCAGGGGGCAAAGCUUGCUGCAUGUUCAGCACCUGAGCCCUGCAGCCUGGGAGUUCUUCACCUGUCUCUGCUCCUCUGGGCACAGAUCCUUGCCACUAGACUGCUGGGGUAGCCAGACUGGAGUCUUUUUAAAGGUUAGCAAGUUUGUUUGUUGCCAUCUGUCUUUCUCUGUGUGUGUGUGUGCUCGCUCAUGAUUCUGUACAAUGUGCAAAUUUAGAACUUGCUUGGAACAAUGCUGAGGGAACAAACCUCGGCACUGGCUCUCAAUCACCCUGGAAUCCAGGGGCACAGGGAUUCCUUAGAUGUAUGUGUCUUUCAGGCAGCAGUAACUGGGAUAAUAAUAUAAGUAACUGGGACAAAAUUUUACAGCUGUAGGGGACCACUUUGUUCAAACUCUGAAUUGUGCUAUUGAUGAAAUUGAGGACUACAAAAUUUAAGUGUGUGACCCGAGGUCACACAUCAAGUUUGAGGCCAAGCGGACGGGAGGGCUUAGAUCUCCAUCUCCCUGAUUCUCAAUCCAGAGCGCUCUUCAAUAAACUAAUGAAUCAGUACAUUUUAUAGAGCUUUCCCCUUCAAAGGGUUCUCAGAGAACAUUUCAUCUUUUCCUCCCAACAACGUUGUAAUAAGAGAAUUGAUUUGCUUCCAUUAAGAGUAGCUCUGCAUACAGCAUACAUCCUUCUUGCAAACCAAUCUGGUUUUAUUUAUUUAUUUACCAAUCUGGUUUUAAUUCCAUAAAUGCUCUGUCUCCUUUCUUGUGUGUUUAUGUUUAUUUCUCCGUACCUUUGUAUUCUGUUCAGGGUUAGCAAAGUUCAGGAUUUGUUUUCCACUCAUGGAUGGUUUGGUUUCUGAUAACAACUCUUUCUUCUCCAAAUUAUCCUCAUAGUUCCUGAAACAACACACCCUAAAGCUAUUACCCGCGUGCCUAUCGUUGGUAGUUGUUACCUUUAUUACUUUCGAACCUUCUACUUCCAUUUUUGUUUCUAUGCUCAUCUAUCUAUCCCUGAGAGUUAUUGCUCUGCCACUGCUCUGCCAUGAGGGAUGUGAAAAGAAUACAGGUUUUGGGUCAUACAUAUGUGGGUUUGAACCUGGCUCUGUCACUUACUGACCACAUGACCACUGUGUUCUUAUAGGUACGAAAUGAAACAAAACAAAACAACAGAAGAUAUGUAACAUUUGUAAAAAGGGUGUCCUGAUGCUUAUAUAGGAUGACAAAGAUUUAGUACUUGGUACAUAGUAGGUGUAUUAGUCCAUUUUCUUACUGCUAUGAAGAAAUACUCAAGAUUGGGUAAUUUAUAAAGAAAAAGAAGUUUAAUGGACUCACAGUUCCACAUGGCUGGGGAGGCCUCACAAUCAUGGCAGAAGGAGGAGCAAAGGCAUGUCUUACAUGGUGGCAGACAAGAGUGUGAACAGGGCAACUGCCCUUUAUAAAACCAAUUGACCUUUAUAAAACCAAAUAAGUCAUGAGACUUAUUCACUAUCACAGGAACAGCAUGAGAAAAACUUACCCCCAUGAUUCAGU